rnacentral:rRNA from 1 species
GAUGAACGCUGGCGGCGUGCCUAAUACAUGCAAGUCGAGCGAACGGACGAGAAGCUUGCUUCUCUGAUGUUAGCGGCGGACGGGUGAGUAACACGUGGAUAACCUACCUAUAAGACUGGGAUAACUUCGGGAAACCGGGGCUAAUACCGGAUGAUAUUUUGAACCGCAUGGUUCAAAAGUGAAAGACGGUCUUGCUGUCACUUAUAGAUGGAUCCGCGCUGCAUUAGCUAGUUGGUAAGGUAACGGCUUACCAAGGCAACGAUGCAUAGCCGACCUGAGAGGGUGAUCGGCCACACUGGAACUGAGACACGGUCCAGACUCCUACGGGAGGCAGCAGUAGGGAAUCUUCCGCAAUGGGCGAAAGCCUGACGGAGCAACGCCGCGUGAGUGAUGAAGGUCUUCGGAUCGUAAAACUCUGUUAUUAGGGAAGAACAUAUGUGUAAGUAACUGUGCACAUCUUGACGGUACCUAAUCAGAAAGCCACGGCUAACUACGUG